rnacentral:rRNA from 1 species
UACGUAGGGUGCAAGCGUUGUCCGGAAUUAUUGGGCGUAAAGAGCUUGUAGGCGGUUUGUCGCGUCUGCUGUGAAAUUUCGGGGCUCAACCCCGAACUUGCAGUGGGUACGGGCAGACUAGAGUGCGGUAGGGGAGAUUGGAAUUCCUGGUGUAGCGGUGGAAUGCGCAGAUAUCAGGAGGAACACCAAUGGCGAAGGCAGAUCUCUGGGCCGUAACUGACGCUGAGGAGCGAAAGCAUGGGGAGCGAACAGG